AUUGCACGCUGGCGGCAGGCCUAACACAUGCAAGUAGAGCGGAGCGGCGGACGGGUGAGUAAUGCCUAGGAAUCUGCCUGGGCGUGGGGGAUAACGUCCGGAAACGGGCACUAAUACCCCAAACAAUCAGUUGAGCCUAGGUCGGAUUAGCUAGUCGGUGGGGUAAAGGCCUACCAAGGCGACAAUCCGAACCUGGUCAGAGGGGAGGAUCAGUCACACUUGAACUGAGACACGGUCCAGACUCCUCCGGGAGGCAGCAGUGGGGAAUAUUGGACAAUGGGCGAAAGCCUGAUCCAGCCAUGCCGCGUGUGUGAAGAAGGUCUUCGGAUUGUAAAGCACUUUAAGUUGGGAGGCGUUACCAACAGAAUAAGCACCGGCUAACUUCGUGCCAGCAGCCGCGGUAAUAC
rnacentral:rRNA from 1 species